UUAACUCUUGAUUUUAGUCACUCAGGGAGAUGGAUUUGAGACUGAUCUUAUAUCUCCUAGGCUGUAGCACCCAGUUAAAGCCCAAUAAUUGUUGUCUCAGUGAUUGGCUUUCUGCGGAGAAGAAUGAAGAUGAAGGCCCUGGUGUUUCAGAAACAAGACCCCCUGCACUGCAGUGCUAGUUUUAGAAGCUCUCCAAGUGGUUCUAAUGGAGUCAGUGUGAAGACCAACGGAGAGGCUAGAGAAAUACUAUUUAGGCCUCCUGGCUGCAAGCUCUCAAUUGAUUCUUGAGAUCUGGGGAACUUGGAAAACUUAGCUGAGCUCCUGGGAGGUUGCAGCAGAAGCUGAAGCCAAACAGAGGAGCUGAGACGUGCUGUGGAAGGUUGGCCAAGCCGAGAGAAGAAGAGAUGAGUAUAAGCUCUGGAGGGGUGCAAAGGUGAAGCGCACUCGCAAAGCCAGCUGCCACUUUGUGAGAUGGUCUUUGGAGAGGCCCAAGUAGCAACAAUCAAGAAGCAGAGACCCUCAGUCCCACAAUCCAAAAAGAAUUAAAUUAUGCAAACAACCACAAGAAUGAGCUUGGAAGCAGAUCCACCCAAGAAGGACCUGGAGAAGACUUGACUGUAGCCUCUGAGAGAUCCGAGCCAGAGACCUGCUAAGCCGCGCCCCCAUUCCUGACCCACAGAAACUGAGAU